GUCAAGCUACAAAGGGCUCACGGCGGAUACCUUGUACACAAGGCGAUGUGAAAGGGACGCCGGUGGGGUUAAUCUGGCGAUAGUUCUCGGGAGCUGGGAAGACACGCUUGAUCCUGGCAAUUU
rnacentral:rRNA from 1 species